GAUGAACGCUGGCGGCGUGCCUAAUACAUGCAAGUCGAGCGAACAGACGAGGAGCUUGCUCCUUUGACGUUAGCGGCGGACGGGUGAGUAACACGUGGGUAACCUACCUAUAAGACUGGGAUAACUUCGGGAAACCGGAGCUAAUACCGGAUAAUAUUUCGAACCGCAUGGUUCGAUAGUGAAAGAUGGCUUUGCUAUCACUUAUAGAUGGACCUGCGCCGUAUUAGCUAGUUGGUAAGGUAACGGCUUACCAAGGCAACGAUACGUAGCCGACCUGAGAGGGUGAUCGGCCAAACUGGAAAUGAGACACGGUCCAGACUCCUACGGGAGGCAGCAGUAGGGAAUCUUCCGCAAUGGGCGAAAGCCUGACGGAGCAACGCCGCGUGAGUGAUGAAGGUCUUCGGAUCGUAAAACUCUGUUAUUAGGGAAGAACAAACGUGGAAGUAACUGUGCACGUCUUGACGGUACCUAAUCAGAAAGCCACGGCUAAAUACGUG
rnacentral:rRNA from 1 species